GCAGACGUGCAUGCUUGGUAAUCAUGCGACCAGUAAUUAUCACAAACUUAUAUGUAAAGGUGCCAAACCUAACGAACCAUCACAUGAAUCAAUGAACUGGAAAAGUCAGUUAACCUCUUCUUGCAGAAGUAAGUUUUUCAGCUUCAACUCAUUAGUAGUCUAAUCAAAUUCUGAGCUGUAAUAAAACGGGACAUGCCCUGACCACAGUGUGCAUACAGGUUCAAAAAAAGAUGAAUGGAUUGUUGAUAAGCCUUCCACCCACCCCAACCUCCUCGCCUUCUCCUACGACUGUACCAAGACCUCCACCCAGCAAUAGGGGUAUGUUGACUUCGAGGGUGUAGAGGGAGUAAGGAGGAUCUGAAGCUAACGGGGGGAGAGGAAACAAUUUUUUUUUUUUUUUGUGCCCGUGGCGACUUUAAGUUUAUCACCAACCUACCAUAUGCUGUUCGCAUCCUUCGCCGUGAGGCCGAAGCUGAGAGAAGAGCGAGAGAGAAAAUCGCUUCAUCCGCAACACUUCCUUUCGGCUUGGCCGCCUUUCGGCAACUCUCGGAUGCACCAGGGAUUAAGAAAGAGGUAGGAGCGGGGGUUGUUCGGCAGGGUGGUGGAGUUUAAGCUGUGGUUUGAACCUUAACACGCACCAUUGGCUCCGUCCCCUGACAGGCAGGAAGGAGAGCGCAGUGAGGGGCUGCAGUCGACGCUUCGCGGAGCAGGAAGAUCACACAGUCCAGUCAUCUGCUCUCUGUCUCUUGUCCGUAAAGGGGAGCCAAGCAGCUCGGUUCGUUUCGCAAGUAGGACGAUUUACUUAUUGAUGCUCAUCGCAGCCAAGCGCAGAUAACAAGUCGUCAAAAAGGAAUCUUGAAACAUCCCGGGCACGAGAAGCAGACGGUCAAAUCGUUUCAACUUCUUGUCCUAAACAGACACUGAACCAUUUAUCCUGGCAACCAAUGCAUCCUGGUCUUCUGCUGUCAUUUUAUUCGAACCAUCGAAGUCUCAAGAUGGACGCUUUGGAAGUGUGAAGACAUCUUUUGGUUGUGUACGGCAUCGCCGACAUUACAGCCUCAUUGUAUUCCUGACAACAUUUGUCUCCAAGACUGCAGACUGAGCAUUUCUCGGUGUCGUGUUUUGGAAUUACGGUGCAAUCUGAGACUACGCAAUAGCCAAGGUAGGACGGUGUUUGUCGUAUGUUGUAUUAUUUCUGCGGUCAUUCUGAUUCCAUGUGUGUGUGUGUGCUCAUAUAUCUGCAUAUAUAUAUUAAAUAAGUGUGUAGCACAGAAAAAUCUAUUGCUUUCCAGCAAAGCAUCUGGACUGGAAUUGAUGUAUACCACCUGUCUGUCUGUUUGUAAACGUAAAAACUUCCUGAAAUGUUCUGUGGACCUAGUUGGUUGAUAUGGCAGCCAUGGAGACACGGUGACAUGGAGUUCGAUGUCAGUGACAAGCAACAGGUGAUGUUCACUCUCCGUGGAUUCAGACAAACGUGUGGCGACACAGUUCACAUCGAGUUCAGAUGGCGAUUGGCGGGCAUCGAGAGAAACUUGCAGAGUGUGGACGAGGGUCGCUAGCUUAGUCUGCAGCUUCACACCUGGGGAGGGCGGCUACACAAUUAUUCUCCGUGUUCCAAGUCGCUUGCAGGCAGAAAAGCCGGUCAAAGCACAGCAUUAUCGAGUGUGCAGGCUACAUUUACUCAGCUGUGCAAGGUAGGAAACGACAACAGCCCGACUGAAAGUUUAAAUAAAGCAUGUAAAUAAUAGGUAGUGCCAUCUGUUGGGAGUCAACAGGGGGGCGCAGUAUGAACACUGAUGUCUGACUCCACAUCGAGUGUUGUAUCUCUGUUUCUCUAUCUCUUGCUUUCGUUUCCCUCUGUCUCUCACAUGCUCACACUAACACGAACGCACACACACACAUACACCACACACACACACACACACACCACACACACACACACAAGAGAGAGAAGCAUACACUCUCGCAGUUUUUGAGUGAGAUAAUGAUGUGUUAUUACAGGUUUCUCGAAUGCCAGCUAAAACAUUUCUUCGGUCUGGGGUUAUUAUUGUCUCUUUGUGACGCACUCGCUUCGUUACACCGAGGCAGUUCUCAUGCUAAUUUGCUUCGCAAAACGAUGCUUUUAUCUGUCGUUUGGGCUGAAACAAAACAACAGACAGCAGCCGAAUCCCUUCGCAUCUUGCAAACCAGGAAUCAGCAACAACAGAGAUACGCACGCCUAGCACGCAACAAAAAAUUUAUGCAGAUAUUUAAAUGCGAAUUUUGUUUGAGGACAGAGCACUGCUGAUAGAGAUUUAAAAAAUUCAAUGUAGCUGUGUGAUUUAAAGCCGUGAGUUAUUUGUUUUCGGCAGGAGAUACGGACAGACAUCUUUCACAAGCAAAACACAUGCUUUUCACACGGACACACACGCACGCAAACGCAUGCGCGCUCUCACUAACACACAUACACAUGCACAUACACAUGCAUACAUGGCAAUCACUAGGUACGAAAAAGGGUGAGAAAGACAGAGUAGGUGUUUUAUUUAUCGCCGAAGCAUUGGUUUAAACACCAUUAAAACACACAGCAGCGUGAGUAUGAUGUAGUUGUAACAUUUUAACGUCCUCCCUACCUCACAAAAGUUCCCACACAGUUCCUAGAGUUUCCUUAAUUGAAGGAGAAAUUUGUGCCGAGUAUAAUUAACCUGCUCGCUAGUUACACAAAAAUAAAAGAUAAAAUUAAAAAAAAAAAAGAGGGAAAAACGAAACUGCGCUUAGGAAAUAAACUCCGCAGCAUAUUUUUAGAGUUUUCAACAUCUUGUAAAUUAAUGAUGAUAAAUACUUUCCUUUAGAAAAGCUUCAUUUUAAAUAAAAAAAAAGAUACAAUGAACUCGUAUCCUUUACUUACUUUCUUCAUAAAAAAAGACAGCAAUAGCCAUUUAAUGUGCAAAAAAUAUGUGUCCUUAUUCAGUUAUAUAAAAGGCAACGGAAUAAACCAAUCAGUGUCCAUGCUAUAAAAACUACCUGUUGAAGUAGAGUAAGAGACAUAGAUAUGAAGUGACCUAGAUGAGUAGAAGUCACCCAUCUGUCGCUUACUGAGUCCAGGAUCCUGGUUCUGUUUUCUUUAAAUGUGCAACGUAGUUUUUCAGGUUUUGAAAGUGUGAGAGAGAACGUGAGUGAUAUAUGUUUGUGUGUGUGUGUGACAGAGAAAGAGAGGGUGAGUGAUAUGUUUGUAUGUGUGUGUGAGAGAGAGAGAGAGUAGUAUGUGUGUAAACUCCUGUAUUAUGUCCACCCAUACCGUUCAAAGUCCCCAUCAGUGGAGCAAGGCAUGACGGGAGCGAAUGUCGGGAGGUGCGGGUAGCCGGGGUGAGAGGGGUGGCCCAAGAGAAAUACUAUUCAGCGUGCUAUUAUUUCUUCAUUUCUGGUUUGAAGUAUCCACCACCUGUCUCUCUCUCACACACACACCCAUCGAUCAGCGUGCGGCCAGCUGACAAGCCAGCCAGACCCGUACACUGCAGCACUCAGCUCCACUCCAAACAUCCAGGACCCUCCGCCUCUCCACGUGCAGCUCACCUUCCUCUCACCUUUCACCUCUGUGCGUUCAGCGAUCCAGUCACAAUCGCGUGGAUGCACGUGCUUGGGUUCGAGGAGCAGGACUGCGGAAAUCUCGCUAGACGGUGAACUUACGACUCUUUUCAUUAGCAUCGCAUUUCAUCGAAAUAACAAACACUGCGCUUGCUCUUGCUGUGGAAAAGAUUGGGGGUGUGGUGCAGUUUGAGGGAAUGUUUUCGACCAAGCGAUAGAGAGGAAAGCCAGACCCUGAAAUCAAGCCUCAAAUGCUCAUCGUAAUAUAACAAUGUCACGUGGUCAGGCCUACGAGGUCAGAUGCACGAGCAGCAGAGGAAUUUCACAAACAAAACAAAACAUCUCCCCCUUCUCUGGUCAAAACAACAGACUACACAAGGAGACCUAACUCUGCGUAUGAACUUUAUAUAUAUUCUUUUUUCUUUCAGGUACUUUUUCCGCUUAAUGUCGCUAAUUUGAUAAAUUGCGAGGAGAGUAAUCUUGUACACCCACUCCCGCUAGCUGCCUAACUAAUGGCUGCCUAAUGCUUUGUCCUUGGCACUUACAAGCGAAUGGGAGAGCCUAUUAUAAUAAAACUGUAAGGCUUAAUUGGGACUUUGGUUCCCCAAAGCUGAUGUCACCUCCCGGAGAGUUAAUGUUGCCGACAAAUUGGCUGAUAAAGCUGUAUACUGGUUCCAUUUUUUAAACCAGUCCUUGGUCUUUGAAACCGACUGUUUUUAAUCUCAGCUCUGGCUUGGAGCAGACGUGGCGGUCUGUUGUUGCAAGACUCUCUUUUCUAUGAACGAAAGACUGGUGAACACUGCAGUAAAUGUAUAUACAGUAUAUGUACAUAGAGUAUACACUGCACUACAGACUUUAUUGCCCAAUACCGGUAUCGAACGACACAAAAUGUAUUGUAUAUUGCAGUAAUUAUCUGAAAAAAGGGUUUUUUGCGUGCUACAGUAAUUAUCGAAUGAAGCGGACAUACUAUAAACAUUAGCAGACAUUACAGCAAUUAUCUAGUGCAACAUACACAUGGCAGUGACACUAACGUGUUGUUUGGACAGGAUCUGCUUAGUCCUGCACUUUAGCUGAGACCAUCAAGAGAGAAAUUUGAAGCCAUAAUUUCAAUUGUAAUUUUAUAUUAUUAUUAUAAUUUUCUAUUAAUUAGUUCCUUUGAGAAGAAGCACUAAACAAAAAUAUCCAUCACACUGUAAACUCACCUCCAUCAGUUAAUUGUUUUGCUUUCAACAAGAAAGCUGCCAAGUCCUCCCCUUCUGGAAUACAACAGUCCUCUGACAUCGAGAAUUCUCCACUGCGACAUGGAGGAGCUCAAGCCAACAGUCAAUAAAUGCCUGAGUAGCUUUUCCCUUUAAGCUCUAUACAGACUGUUUACGAUGUGGAGGGAGUUGGAGAUUCUUUGAUAUCUUCUAGUUUUAGCGAGAAGAGAAUCAUCAACCGAUGCCAGAUGACCUCCAGGAUGACCUAGCGCAAACGGAAGUUGAUGUUGUGGUGUUUAUUUUUCUUGCAACCCUGGUUGUCCAUCGUUUCAAGUCCGUGCGUGAGUUGAAAUGCAAAAGAAGAGGUCACAGGAGACACAUCCCCUAGUGUCUCCUUUGUGAUGAUUACUUUCCUGUUGCGAUGGCAUUAUUUGGUUAACAUUUUUAAGGCAGGGCGGAAACCGUGAGAUGUCAGCGCACUAAUGGCUGUCUCUGGCCAUCGAUUCCUUUAUCUGCAGAACAGUGCCGGCUAAAAAUGUUACAUCUGAAGAUGUAAAAUACAAACAUGUCCUGCAUCAACAUUGUUCUUUGUGGCUUUUGCCUGUUCUUUAUGAUGUUCUUGCUGUGUGUUUGACAUGUAUCGCCAUCCAUGAUAGUCGAUUUGUUGUUUUCCUCCAAACCUUCCUCAUCGUCUUUAUCACUAAGGUUUUUUUUUCUCUCCAUCUUCGUAGCUUUUUUAUCCCAGCGAAAGUAACUGGAUUCCUUUUAUGACUUCUUAAUUACUUGUGAGAAAGACAAGUGUGGGUAUCAGCUACAAGCUUGUGGACAUCGAUAGGAUUACCGCAAGGUGAAUCUUAGUGGACUAGAAGAUGUGGAGCAGAUGUGUGUGUGAGAGAGAGGGAGGGAGAGAGAGAGGAAGCAGAGGAAGAGAGAUGGGACUUGCGUGUGGAGUCUGACAAACUGCUCAGCAAUCAUCGAUUUUAUGACAUUUUUAUUUGUCAGAUAUUUUAUCGCCUCUGCAUUAAUCAGUAUGGGUUCGGCUUAUGAAGAAGCCACCCACCUUUCAUCAGCAUUUCCUUGCAUGUUGUUUUGUCUUGUCUUCCGCUAACAAAACAAUAACACUUCUUGUCUAAGAAUGCGCAUUGCUAAUGAUUGCCUGAUACCCAAAACUUAGGAACUAGGCAUUCAUUAAAGUUCUACCUCGUUCUUGUCCUUUAUUAAAUAUGUAGUCAUGACAACGCAAUGGAUUUGUAAUAUCACAUAUAUUAUGUUUUGUACAUGCAUAACCGUGCAUAUAUAUAUAUAUCACACGUAUCUCAACCACACACAUAUAUAUUUCUCGUUUUGGUACUAUCUUUUUCCCGUUAUUUACCGUUUGAUUCAAAAGCAACUGGUGUUGACCUUCACCUUAACGUCGAUCUGUUGGUAGCACAUUACACUUUUAUCAGACACAAUCCCCACACGGACCGAUCGUACAGAUCAUCGAAAAUAAACUCGACACCCCGUGACCAUCCGCCACACGCCAUCCUCCUGCCUGUAAGUUUGUUUUAGCCGCCAGCUCGUAUUAGAUCCUACCUCAGGGCCCGAGGUGCAGGCAAGUGAGGUGUGUGUGUGUGUGACGUCCUCCUCUUGCUGACGUCCAAUGCACCAACCGCCUGCACGUGCGAGGCAACCACCCAAUCCUGCCAUCUCCUGCUGUGCAUCCAUCCGUCCUUGCUGCACGUUUCUAGUUGACGGCAGUUUGUUUAGGACUUUUUUUUUUGGUCGGCUGCACGUGAAGGUCACGUGACUGUUGUUUUCGUGUGAAUGUGUGUACGUGUCCUUGUGUCUGCGUGCGCACUCAUCUGUGUAUAUGCAACUCUUAGUAUAUGCAUGUAUUUGUUGAAAAAUGUAUGUCAGGCACGAAUAAGCUGAUUGAGAGAGGAGACAACUGCAGAAAUGAGCUUCUAAAAAUUGUCUCCAUUAAGUACUAACUGAUAAUAGGCCCAUUGUAUAUCAAUGUAGACUGACAUUUCCCGCGAUUGUCUCGCCUCUGUGGUGUGGAUGGAACGAGCGCACUGCAGUCUACAGUCUAUUGAUCAUAUAUUUAGGGAGCUGCAGAUGGAGCGAACGUACAGCUGUCUACACAGUAAUGUUCAUGGAGCGGAGAGACAGUCACUGCACUGGCCGACAGCUUCCUGCUCACAAGAGAAGUGAACAUGGCUAGAGAAUUCCCCAUGUUAUUGAGAGAAUAACCCCAUGCGUCCAUCACAUCACGUGACGUCUCAUCUGUCAUAGCAUUUGUCAUCAACCCCAAAUGACAAACACAUAUCACAAACCGAAGGAUAUACAACUGAAGUUUGCGACCUCGGUAUAUUUGAAACCAUCAUCCUGAUUGGUACUUGUAUUCGAGUCUUUAAUCCUUCUACUUCAACAUCUUCGUAAAAAAUUUUGAACUGUAUGAAAUUUAUGGUCGCUUUUUUAUGAUGAAAAAGCCCAUAAUUUGGUGCGUAGCUUAUUCCAGGAGGGAUUUUGUAGCUGAUGGAGUGAGUGUAUGUCAACCGAGAUUGCUGCUCAAACAGGAAGUGAUCGAUCACUUCAGUGCGUCAAACCAUCUCACAGUUGAACCCACACGAGUCAGAGCGACCCCCUACGGCCAUGGCAGUCACUGGCAGAAAUAAUGUGGCCUCACUUGACAAGGAAUAUGUCAGGUGAGCAGUUAGUCGUUUAAACCCAACACAUUCUGUCCAUCAAGUGGCGAUUAUUUUCGGCUUGUUUAUAUUCGCACAACCUUCAUUCUACAAACAUUCGACAGUGUUUGCCGGCAUUAUAAACAAGCUCAGGUAUAUCACGGAAUAAAAUUUGUCUCAAUAGCUCCACAUGAUGCACGAAAUCAAAAAUAAUAAAUAAAUAAUACUUAAAGAAAUCGAACCGUGCUUGGCUGGUUCUUGAUCAACCGUUACAGAAACCAAAAUGAGUUUGGUCCUGUUUGCACGCCUCAGGAGUCGUGCUAGUCGUUGUCAAAGCCCUGAUAGAAAUAUUUUACUCCAGUUUAAACCUAAUCCCAAAGCUGAGUCAUUCGAGACUAGGCCUGGGGCUUAGUGAAGCAAAAAAAAA
rnacentral:lncRNA from 1 species